UACGUAGGUGGCAAGCGUUGUCCGGAUUUACUGGGCGUAAAGGGCGUGCAGGCGGUUUGUUAAGUGCAGGGUGAAAGCUCCCGGCUCAACUGGGAGAGGUCCUUGCAUACUGGCGAACUCGAGGGAGGCAGAGGAAAGUGGAAUUCCUGGUGUAGCGGUGAAAUGCGCAGAUAUCAGGAGGAACACCAGUGGCGAAGGCGGUGCUCUGGGCCGGAACUGACGCUGAGGAGCGAAAGCGUGGGGAGCAAACAGG
rnacentral:rRNA from 1 species